AACGCACAUUGCGCCCACUGGUAUUCCGGUGGGCAUGCCUGUCUGAGCGUCAGUAUAAUCUCAAGCAACUGCUUGGUAUUGGAAGAUGAUCUGCCUAGCAGUUCCCUUCUUAAACUGAUUGGCAAGUUUACAUAGCAGCAAGCGUAGUAGAAAUACCAUCAGCUUAGUUACUCUGUAUAGCUUUGUCAAAAUCAAACUAUUUUUAAGGUUUGACCUCAGAUCAGGUAAGGAUACCCCCUGAACUUAA
rnacentral:misc_RNA from 1 species